UACGGAGGGUGCAAGCGUUGUUCGGAAUUACUGGGCGUAAAGAGUGUCAAGGUGGGUCUGCAAGUCAGAUGUGAAAUCCCCCGGCUUAACUGGGGAGGGUCGUUUGAAACUGCAGAUCUUGAGUGUCGGAGAGGUGAGCGGAAUUCCCAGUGUAGGGGUGAAAUUCGUAGAGAUUGGGAGGAACAUCGGAGGCGAAAGCGGCUCACUGGCCGAUUACUGACACUGCCACACGAAAGCGUGGGGAGCAAACAGG
rnacentral:rRNA from 1 species